AUUGAACGCUGGCGGCAUGCCUAACACAUGCAAGUCGAACGGAAACGAUGGAAGCUUGCUUCCAGGCGUCGAGUGGCGGACGGGUGAGUAAUGCUUAGGAAUCUGCCCAAUAGUGGGGGACAACUCGGGGAAACUCGAGCUAAUACCGCAUACGCCCUACGGGGGAAAGCAGGGGAUCUUCGGACCUUGCGCUAUUGGAUGAGCCUAAGUCGGAUUAGCUUGUUGGUGAGGUAAAAGCUCACCAAGGCGACGAUCCAUAGCUGGUCUGAGAGGACGAUCAGCCACACUGGGACUGAGACACGGCCCAGACUCCUACGGGAGGCAGCAGUGGGGAAUAUUGGACAAUGGGGGCAACCCUGAUCCAGCAAUGCCGCGUGUGUGAAGAAGGCCUGCGGGUUGUAAAGCACUUUCAGUAGAGAAGAAAAGCUUACGGAUAAUACCCGUGAGUCUUGACGUAACCUACAGAAGAAGCUCCGGCUAACUCCGUGCCAGCAGCCGCGGUAAUACGGAGGGAGCGAGCGUUAAUCGGAAUUACUGGGCGUAAAGCGCGCGUAGGCGGCUUUGUAUGUUGGAUGUGAAAGCCCUGGGCUCAACCCAGGAAUUGCAUUCGAUACUGCAUGGC
rnacentral:rRNA from 1 species